UCUACGGGAGGCAGCAGUGGGGAAUAUUGCACAAUGGGCGGAAGCCUGAUGCAGCAACGCCGCGUGCGGGAUGACGGCCUUCGGGUUGUAAACCGCUUUCGCCUGUGACGAAGCGUGAGUGACGGUAAUGGGUAAAGAAGCACCGGCUAACUACGUGCCAGCAGCCGCGGUGAUACGUAGGGUGCGAGCGUUGUCCGGAUUUAUUGGGCGUAAAGGGCUCGUAGGUGGUUGAUCGCGUCGGAAGUGUAAUCUUGGGGCUUAACCCUGAGCGUGCUUUCGAUACGGGUUGACUUGAGGAAGGUAGGGGAGAAUGGAAUUCCUGGUGGAGCGGUGGAAUGCGCAGAUAUCAGGAGGAACACCAGUGGCGAAGGCGGUUCUCUGGGCCUUUCCUGACGCUGAGGAGCGAAAGCGUGGGGAGCGAACAGGCUUAGAUACCCUGGUAGUCCACGCUGUAAACGGUGGGUACUAGGUGUGGGGUCCAUUCCACGGGUUCCGUGCCGUAGCUAACGCUUUAAGUACCCCGCCUGGGGAGUACGGCCGCAAGGCUAAAACUCAAAGGAAUUGACGGA
rnacentral:rRNA from 1 species